UGUGGUGAUGAUGGCUUGAAGGAUACACCUGUUCCCAUGCCGAACACAGAAGUUAAGCUUCAACACGCCGAAAGUAGUUGGGGG
rnacentral:rRNA from 1 species